rnacentral:rRNA from 1 species
AGUGAACGCUGGCGGUAGGCCUAACACAUGCAAGUCGAACGGCAGCACAGUAAGAUCUUGCUCUUACGGGUGGCGAGUGGCGGACGGGUGAGGCAUACAUCGGAAUCUACUUUUUCGUGGGUGAUAACGUAGGGAAACUUACGCUACUACCGCAUACGACCUACGGCUGAAAGCAGUGGAUCUUCGGACCUUUCGCGAUUGAAUGAGCCGAUGUCGGAUUAGCUAGUUGGCGGGGUAAAGGCCCACCAAGGCGACGAUCCGUAGCUGGUCUGAGAGGAUGAUCGGCCACACUGGAACUGAGACACGGUCCAGACUCCUACGGGAGGCAGCAGUGGGGAAUAUUGGACAAUGGGCGCAAGCCUGAUCCAGCCAUACCGCGUGGGUGAAGAAGGCCUUCGGGUUGUAAAGCCCUUUUGUUGGGAAAGAAAAGCAGCAGGUUAAUACCCCGCUGUUCUGACGGUACCCAAAGAAUAAGCACCGGCUAACUUCGUG